rnacentral:rRNA from 1 species
UAGUACUGUGAAGGAAAGGUGAAAAGCACCCCGGGAGGGGAGUGAAACAGUACCUGAAACCGUGCGCCCACGAGCAGUCGGAGCACCUUUAUGGUGUGACGGCGUGCCUUUUGUAGAAUGAGCCAGCGAGUCGCUGGCGCGGGGCGAGGUUAACCGAAAGGGAGCCGGAGCGAAAGCGAGCCUUAACAGGGCGACUUGAGUCCCGCGCCGCGGACGCGAAGCCGGGUGAGCUAUCCGUGGGCAGGCUGAAGCGGGGGUAAGACCCCGUGGAGGGCCGAACGCACGUCGGUUGAAAACGGCGGCGAUGACCUGCGGAUAGGGGUGAAAGGCCAAUCAAACCCGGAGAUAUCUCGUUCUCCCCGAAAUAGCUUUAGGGCUAGCGUCGCGCGUUCACCGCCGGAGGUAGAGCACCGGAUGGACGAGGGGGCUUCGCCGCCUACCGAAUCCAACCGAACUCCGAAUGCCGGCGGCCCAGAGCGCGGCAGUCAGAGCAUGUGGGCUAAGCUGUGUGCUCGAGAGGGAAACAGCCCGGACCGCCCGCUAAGGUCCCCAAGUUCCAGCCGAGUGGCAAAGGAUGUGCGUCCGCCCAGACAACCAGGAUGUUGGCUUAGAAGCAGCCAUGCAUUCAAAGAGUGCGUAACAGCUCACUGGUCGAGUGGACAUGCGCCGACAAUACACGGGGCUAAGCUGGACACCGAAGCGGCGGGAUUUUACCUAAGUAGAAUCGGUAGGGGAGCUUCCCAUGGGCGGAGAAGCCGGAGGGCGACCGACGGUGGAGCGCAUGGGAGUGAGAAUGCUGGCAUGAGUAGCGAGAGACGAGAGAGUAACUCGUCCGCCGUGAACCCGAGGUUUCCUGGGCAAGGCUAAUCCUCCCAGGGUCAGUCGGGGGCUAAGGCGAGGCCGGGAGGCGUAGCCGACGCGCAGCAGGCAGACAUUCCUGCACCGCGCACGCGGCGCUACGACCGACGGGGCGACGGAUGGGGGUGGCUCGGCGGGGUUCUGGACGUCCCCGUGAUGGAGCGCGGCCCGCGGACCAGGGAAAUCCGGUCCGCAGAAGGGCGAGGCUCCGGACGAAGCGAUUGAGCGAAGCGAGUGAGCCCGAGGUCCCUAGAAAAACCCCUAGGCAGGCGCGUGCGCGCCCGUACCGCAAACCGACACAGGUGGGUGGGUAGAACAUACCGAGGCGAUCGGGUCAACCAUGGUCAAGGAACUCGGCACAAUGGCCCCGUAACUUCGGGAGAAGGGGUGCCCGCGCGUACGUGAACCGGCUUGCCCGGGGAGCGGAGGCGGGCCGCAGUGGAGAGGCCCAAGCGACUGUUUACCAAAAACACAGGACUCUGCAGAAGCCGCAAGGCGACGUAUAGGGUCUGACGCCUGCCCGGUGCCGGAAGGUCACGCGGAGGAGUUAGCCAUUUCGGCGAAGCCCCGAAGCCAAGCCCCGGUAAACGGCGGCCGUAACUAUAACGGUCCUAAGGUAGCGAAAUUCCUUGUCGGGUAAGUUCCGACCUGCACGAAAGGCGCAACGACUUGGGCGCUGUCUCGACCAUGGACCCGGUGAAAUUGCACUGGUCGUGAAGAUGCGACUUACCCGCGGAAGGACGGAAAGACCCCGUGAACCUUCACUGCAGCUUGGCAUUGGCCGCUGGUCCCGCGUGUAGAGGAUAGGCAGGAGGCACAGAUCCGGAGGCGCCAGCCCCCGGGGAGCCGCCCUUGGAAUACUGCCCUCGCGCGACCGGCGUCCUAACCCGAGGCCGUCAACCGGCUCGGGGACCGUGCCAGGCGGGCAGUUUGACUGGGGCGGUCGCCUCCUAAAGGGUAACGGAGGCGCGCGAAGGUCCGCUCGGGACGGUCGGCAACCGUCCUUUUGAAUGCAAGAGUACAAGCGGGCUUGACUGCGAGGCCCACAAGCCGAGCAGGUGCGAAAGCAGGCUCUAGUGAUCCGGCGGCCCCGAGUGGGUGGGCCGUCGCUCAACGGAUAAAAGGUACUCCGGGGAUAACAGGCUGAUCUUGCCCAAGAGUCCACAUCGACGGCAAGGUUUGGCACCUCGAUGUCGGCUCAUCGCAUCCUGGGGCUGGAGUAGGUCCCAAGGGUUGGGCUGUUCGCCCAUUAAAGCGGUACGCGAGCUGGGUUCAGAACGUCGUGAGACAGUUCGGUCCCUAUCCUCCGUGGGCGCAGGAGAAUCGAUGGAGGCUGCCCCCAGUACGAGAGGACCGGGGUGGACGCACCUCCGGUGAACCGGUUGUCGACCAACGGCACGGCCGGGUAGCCGCGUGCGGCGCGGAUAACCGCUGAAGGCAUCUAAGCGGGAAGCCGUUCCAGGGAUUAGUUCUCCUUCCGGUAAGGGCCCAGGUAGACUACCUGGUCGAUAGACGGCAGGUGCAAGGACGGCGACGUCCUCAGCCGAGCCGCACUAAUCGCCCGAGCUCUUCCGGA